UAAACUGACAAAGCCCCCAGCAGACAGGGCAGGGUCUCUGUGAGUCAGGACUGUUUGUAGGUCUGGGGUCAGCAGGACCCUCACUGAUGUGUUGAGAUUGGUCAGUCGGGGGGCAGUUGGUGGUGGCGGGGAGUGAGCAAUUGUCAGCAGGGUCAGGCUACCAGGGACAAAGUGUGAGCCUGCCCAGGGUCCUGGAGGUGGACAGACACGUUCGAGGCUGCUCGCAGGACGACAGAGGAACCUCCGUGGAUAGGGACAGGCCCCAUCAAGGCUGCACGCCAUCGGCCAUGGCCGCCCUGCUUCGCCCACGCGCUCAGCUUCCACCUCCUCCAGCCAGGCUGGCACCCUCUCCAACACCUCUCCACCCAGCAGGACCAGGACACAGAUCCAGAUGUGCAACGGCCAAAGAGGGGCUGGGGCGCGGGCGAAGCCACAUGCAGCCCAGUGGCACCUGUGCUGAGAGUCUGCAGAGGUGACAGCAUGGAGGACACCUCGCUCCGUCAGGGCCUGGACAGCCACCCCACGGAUGAGCCUUUCUCCAGUGAAAACACCCGGCUUGGCAACUCCAGGUGGCCCAGGACGGGCAGCCUCCCUCCCAGCCCACUGGGGCUUGGCAAGCAGUGUAGACACCAGGAGUGAUGGCCUUGACUUUCUGUUCCCAGGGGACCACAGUCACACACACACACACACACACACACACACAAAAUGAUACUUUUGUUAACCUGUUGGUUGCCUUUUCUGUUCUAUUUUUUUUAAAUGAUUUAUUUGACACAGAGGUUUUAAAUCGGCUGGUCCAUGCAACAGAUGGACCCAAUGGCCAGGGCUGGGUCCGGCCAGAGCCAGGAGCCAGACUCCAUCUGGAUCUCCAACAUGAGUGUCAGGGACCUGCCAGCCUGGGUCAUGUGCUGCUGCCUUUCAGGGGCAUUAGCAGGGAGCUGGAAGGAUACGGAGGGGCCAGGACUCUAACCAGCACUCCUAUGGGAUGCUGGUAUCAGAGGCGGAGGCUUAACUGCUGCACCACAGGGCUGUCCACUGUCACUGGAGUUUUUAAAAGAAUCCUCAUCUGUGUGUAAAAUUCAAUCUAAGAAAAAAAGUCCUUGUGCUCCUGGGACCACGUGACCCUCGAGUCAAAGCCUGAUCUGGGAGGGGACCCUGCCCUCGGGGCUGAUUCUGUGCCCCCUCCCCCGCCCCUGGCGCUCAGCGGUUCUGCAGCCAUCGGGUGGCCAGACCCACAGAGGGACUGUCAGAGACACCCAUCCAAGUGACUGGACCACAGGUGACUUUGCCUGGGACACUGGCAACGGCCUCAGAGCCUGCAGAGAGGAGGAGAGGCAGUGCUGGCCGUGCACCUGCACACGCCUGCUGCCUGCCCUGCCCGUCCUUAGCCUCUCCUUGGGAAUAGAAAAUGAGGCAGAGAUGACAAGAAAAUGGAAAAGGGCCUGGACCCGGGCACCGGGAAUUCAAGGGACCCUGCCCUCCUCCUGCGGAUUCUCAGGUGUGGAGAUGCUGGUAGGGCUCAGGGAGCUGGGGAGGGGUCUGCACAGUGCCUGUGGGCCACACCCUCUUCCCAGGCUGCUCCUGUGUUCUUGUAUGUCAGGUCAGUCUCAGCCCUGAGGGAGGCUUGGAAUGCCUCUCACCUGGAGCUGCCUCUCACACAGCACUGCCUCUCCCACCUGUGCUGCCUCCCACCUGUGCUGCCUCUCAUCCAGAGCUGCCUCCCAUCCCGAGCUGCCUCUCACCCUGGACUGCCCCUCACUUGGAGCUGCCCCUCUCCGGCACUGCCUCUCACCUGGGCAGGACAGGACAUGGCAGACACCUGGACGGAACUGGCGCCCUCCAGUUUGCUACGGAAACUUCUGCCCAGCGCUCUCCCCACUGCGGCAGCCUGCUCUUAUUGCCCUCAUCCUGACUCUGGGAGAACAGGGACGUGGACACGGCCCCUGCAGUCCUUAGCGCUCUCACCUGGGAGCCUCCCUCCCUGAGUGGGGAGGUGAGCCGAGGUGAGAGCAGGCAGGGGCUUUGAGAAGAAGUCACAGGAGCCAGGAGUCGCCAGCGAGGGGAGCGCUGUGCCUGUGCGCACAGCCAGUCGGGCCGCCUGCCUGCUGUGAGAUCUCGGCAGCAUCCUGGAGGGCUCUGUGCCUUCGUUCUCUCUGCUUGAUGCACAGCUCCACAGAGCGGCCCGGGGACCUCAUCCUCUUCCUGUUGAUCGUCCUGCCUUCCGCAGCUUUCCACGGAGGCACUGUCCUGCCAACUUCCUCUUCCCCGUGGGUUUUCAUCCUCUUGAAGUAGUCACUCCUCCAGACCCUGGUCACCCAGCAAUAGUUGCAAGACUUCACGUACAUUCUGCAGAGCAGCCUCUCUGCACCUAAGCCACUUUUCUGCCUGGCCUGGGGGCCUGGCCACCAAGAUCUUCGUGCUCUCUCGGGCACUGCCUGGCCAGCAGCCGGCCCUGCUCUGCUUGGAUCAGGGAGACCUUUGCACUCAUCCUUCCCUUUGUGACUCGCAAUGGACGUUUCACUGAGCUGCUGCACAAACAUCUGGAAUGUUCUCAGACUUUUCUCCCCUCUGAUCUGCCUCUCUCCAUCGGCCUGCCUGUUUUUCUCUGCAGACAAGGAAAUGUCCCACACUCCAGAGCUUCUAAAAAAAUAAAAUAAAAAAGGAAUUGGACUCCACGAGGGUGGUCAUCUGGAGACCACUGAGAGGAGUGGAAGCCCUUGGAUCUGGGGCUUGGCCACACAGCUGCCUCCCGGGGGCUCCCCGGUGUCCAGGACUCCCCGUGAGCCGUGGCUAGGAAGGCGCCCAAGCAGAGCUGUCAGAGCUGCCACUUCCAAGGUGCUGCCCCGGGCUCCUGGCCUGAGGUUUCCAUGGUGAUGGUAACUAAGCAGGCGCCCCUGUGGCCUGUCUCCUCUCAACCCGUUCCGUGCUAGAUGUCCAAAUGCGACAGACAGAUCCCAGGGCAAGUGGGGCCCGAAGGUGAGGGCUCCGGACUCUUAGAGAGGAGGCACAGGAGUCACACAGGGCCCGGGCCUCUGGGACCUUGCCGUCAGGGGUCCACCCCUGGGAGCUGGCUCAGUGCCUGGGGAAAGGGGUGCAAGUCCACACUGGGGAACAGGGGUGCAGUGUGAUCUGGAGAAUGCUGGUGUUCAUGCGGCCCCUCAGGGAGGAGGGGAUAGGGUGCUGGAAGCUUCUCUGUGAACAAGGCAGACACCCAGAUGACUGUGGGCUCUCCCCAGCACUGGGGGUGUUUGAGCAGAGGCCCAGCCCUGCUGCAGGGGGACUUAGGAAUUUUUAAUAAAUUUUGUUUUCUUCUUUUACAGUUAGUAUCUCUCUUUUAAGAGAUUCACAUGGGUAGGUGCCAGUACUGCGUAUGUUAUUGUGUAAUUACAUGUAAUUAUCGUAUAAUUAAUUUAACUGCAAUGAAACAUUUCUUAAUAAUGAGAUGUAUGUAACAAUGUACAGAGGGUACUGUUAAAUCCCAAUGUACGUACUUGGUAGCUUCAGAAAGAUAGCACUGUAAUUUACUCUGUGGUCUUUUGUGUGUCCCUCAGUAUUCACAUCCCUCCCCUUACCUCUUGGGUAGCUACUAUCCUGAAAAUAAUGUUAUCACUUACUGCCUUGUCUUUAUAGUUUUGUGAAAAUUUUGUGGGCAAAAAAAAAAAUCCAUUUAUCAGUUUUACAUAUCCUUGAGCCUAGUACCUGUAAAUAUACUUUGUAGUCAGAUACUGGCCAGUGUCGUCCUAUAACUCUCUCCAAAGCUCAGUAAUAUAGAACAGGAAGCAGCUCCUCCUCAUUCAUGUGCUUAUAGUUGAUUUGGUUGGGUCAGCCUGGGUCAGCUGGUUGGUGGUUGGGAUCCAAGUCUGCUCUAGGUAGUACCCAUUCUCCUAGGACCAGUGGUUUCCUGAGGCAGUCUCUUCACAAAGCAAAAGCCAGGAGCACAUGAGAGCAGGCCCAGCCACCAAGUGUAUUCUAAGCGUUGGCUUGUGCCAGGCCCACCAGCACCCCCGUGGCUUGGAAUUGCAAGGUAGAGAUUUCACCUCUGCCUGCCACGAGGAUUUGAGAAAGGUGUGGAUGUGGAACAACACAGGUGGGUCACAAAUGGGGGUUGUAAUUCAGUCUACCACAAUAUCACGAAGCAAUCUGUUCAAUGAUUUCUUCUAAAUGUAUUUUGUUCAUUUGAACUCGUGCAUCGUAUUCCAGUGUAAUGACUGGAAUUUAUUUUCCCAUACUUCUUUCCGUGGAUAACGGAGUUUUGCCAAUAUAAUGCUGCUUUGAACAAACUUGCGUGUGUCACCUGGAGCAGCUGUGUGAGAAUUGCUCAAGAUUAAAUUACUGUAGAGCAAAAUUAUCCAAAACUUGGAAAUAAAGCGAAAAGUUCACCACGAAGUCUUUAAAUGGCAUUUAAAGAGCACCUUCAUUAAGCCUUCUGAGAAUCAUCUCUCUCAAGGAUAUAACUUUGUCGACUUUUUAAUGACUAAAAUUAAGCUCUAUAAAGUCUUUUUUUUCCUUAGUAGUUCUUUAUGAAAGUUUUUUAUGAAAAAUCUCUACAAUGAAAAUUGCAAGGCAUUAAAGAGAAGACACUAAAAAAUGGGAAAAUCUUCCACGUUCAGAAUCGGAAGAAUUAAUAUCUUCAAAAUGUCCACAUUACCCAAAAUAAUUUACAGAUUCUGUGCAGUCCCAUCAUCUGACAUUCUUCUCAGAUUUUUUUUUUUUUUCAUGUUGAACAUGACCUCCUUUCUUCUGGAAAUUACAUCCAAAGAUUUACUCGGUGCAUUUGAGCUAAUAGGUGGAAGGACUCUUGGAACCUUAAUGUUUUCGCUCAAGGAGCCUCUCUGUGCAGGCCAGCUGCACCAGUUGAACGGAACCUGAAGGGGGGCGUGGGAAUGAAAAGAGGGACAAGGGCACAGAGAAUGGAGCCAAGACAAAAGUCUGAUCAAGGCUCGUUUAUUCCAGUAUCUCAGAGAUAUUUAUACAUAACCAGCUGCAGCUCAAGGCAACACAGAAGUUAACAACAUACGCAACCAACUUAUCGGGCUUUCUGCAACACAGUCAUAACAUAGUUAAUUUUAACAGAGUGCAUCUUCCUUCAACAUGGGAGUUCGUGACUUUCUCAUCCCAGCAAUUCCACAAGCCAAGAUUGACCUUGACCUGUCUAUGACUUGUCUAUGGGCUGCAUACACCUCUCCACAGCACGAAUCAUACACAAACAAAUGGGGAUUCAAGAAUGAAAUUUUUGGGGUGUAGUGGGUUAAGCUACCCAGCCUGCAACGUCGGCAAACCAUAUGGAGGCCGGUUCAUGUCCUGGCUGCUCCACUUCCAAUCCAACUCCCUAAUAAUGGCCUGGGAAAGCAGCAGAAGAUGGCCAAGUGCUUGGGCCCCUGCACCCACGUGAGACCCAGAGGAAGCUGCUGGCUCCUGGCUUUAGCCUGGCCCAGCCCUGGCCAUUGGUGGCUAUUUGGAGGAGUGAACCAGUGAAGGGAAGAUCCCUCUUUCUCCCUGUAACUCUGACUUUAAAAUAAAUAAAAAUCUUUCUAAAAAUGCAACUUCUUAUCUGCUGUGUCGUGGGUGUGGGGCUUGGGUAAGUGGGAGGAACUACAUGAGUGGUGGAAGUGGGCAGAGAAGGGAGUUC